AGUCUCCGUGAAUAAGUCUAUACUUCCGAUCCGCCCCCCGCCCCGCAGCGCCUCCGUCUCGGCCGCCGGCCCUCAGGGCUGCCUUCCCCAGCCCGUCACCAUCUGAGAGGGCACAGGACGGAAGGGGCCAUCCUACCAACCCAGCUGUCGACCCCGCUCCCCGCAACACAACCCCAAACGGUCCCCCUUUGCCCGCUUUCAACAUGGCGGCCCACGCACGCGCCUACAUACCGUCCAGGCCGAAUUCCCUCGUCCUUCUCGCCAGGGUGGGCCCUACUCCCACCAAACCGCUCCCGCUCACCUCAGCAAGGAUCGGGCUUCCUUUCCCACAGGGCCAGGUGCCGAGCUCGAAGCGACGGAAGAUUCUUCCUCCUUGACUGACAGGACCUUUACAUCAGAAGUAGCAGAUUCGUCACGGGCCCCGUUUCCGUUUUUGCUUUUAUUUUAACAAAUUUAAUCACAUGCCUUGAGCAUCGACUGCAUAUUGUCUCCGAAGAGAAUGAACUUUCUGUUUCUGUAAAAAUUUUCACGAAGACAGAAACUGCUAAAUUGAACAAAAGUUGAAAGACGAUCGAAUGUGCAGCUAGUUGUCUGGGAGCCGCUGGAUUUCUCUCCGUAGCGAGGAGGUGUUUCAGCGCAAUGCGAGUUUUGGUUCUUAGGCUCGCUUUGAGAAUUUGAUUAAUAUUGUGGGGUUUUUUUACUCAGAAAAUGCGUAUGCCGGUUCACAAGGAAACUUUGUCAAAAUAUUCGGGUAGAUUACGACUUGUGGUACAACUUGAAAUGUCUUGAGACAGUUGUGCUUUUCAUGAUGAGUCUCGUGAUUUCUUCAGCCACUCAUUUUCUGAUUAAUUCUUACAAGUGGGUCAUUUCUGCGAACAGCUGAUCUCAUUUUGAUUCCAGUCCUAUUCUUAGAAGGACUUCCCUGGUGGCGCAGUGGUUAAGAAUCCACCUGCCAGUGCAGGGGACACUGGUUCGAUCCCUGGUCCAGGAAGAUCCCACAUGCCGCAGAGCAACUAAGCCCAUGCACCACAACUACGGAGCCUGCACUCUAGAGCCCGCGAGUCACAAUUACUGAGCCCGUGAGCCACAACUACUGAAGCCUGGGCGCCUAGAGCCUGUGCUCCGCAACAAGAGACGCCACUGUUUGAAGCCCACGCACCGCAACUAAGAGUAGCCCCCCUCACGGCAACUAGAGAAAGCCCGCGCUCAACAACGAAGACCCAGUGCAGCCAAAAAUAA